UACGGGGGGGGCAAGCGUUGUUCGGAAUUACUGGGCGUAAAGGGCUCGUAGGUGGCCAACUAAGUCAGACGUGAAAUCCCUCGGCUUAACCGGGGAACUGCAUCUGAUACUGGAUGGCUUGAGUUUGGGAGAGGGAUGCGGAAUUCCAGGUGUAGCGGUGAAAUGCGUAGAUAUCUGGAGGAACACCGGUGGCGAAGGCGGCAUCCUGGACCAACACUGACACUGAGGAGCGAAAGCAUGGGGAGCGAACAGG
rnacentral:rRNA from 1 species